AUGUAUGUGGAGCAAGAGGUUCCGUCAAGGUGUCCACGUACGUGCUCGAAAGUACGGAGUAAGCAGCUUAGGGGGUCCCGGGGACGCAGUAAGACCCGGUCCCGGGGCUCCCGAAGCAAGGCCCACCAUGUCCACAGGCGAUCGCUACCGGAGCACAAGAAGGCGCAAGUGCGAGAGAAAGAGGUGUGGAAGCCCUGGAACGGGCUCAUCGUAAUUGGAAAGAGAGUGGAACUCUUGGACAGAAACCUGCAAAAGUCUAAACUGUGGGACACAAAGUUGGAAUCUGAGGACUGGAAGCCGGAGGACGAGGGGAAGAAGUCCUCGAAAGAGAGAUCGGGCCUGCAUCAGGAGAGGGUGGACACGAAGCUCCUAAACAGUGCGGGAAGGACGGUACAGGCUUCAGCAAUUCUGGAGCCUGGCAGCUCAGAGAAGAUUUGGAGACCAGGAGACUCCAAAGUUCAAGGUGUAUCCAGGAGUGCAGAGAUGACUGCAGAGCCUGAAGAAAGAUUGAAGGACAAGUUUAAGGACAGGUUGAGGACCACUAGAGGGGACUUGAGGUCCAGAGGGGAUCAACUGGGGCAGAUUGAGGAGUCGAGUGAGGAGAACUUGAUGUACAAGAAAGAGAAACGGGGGUCCACUGGAGAGAAGGUGGUGGGCAGAGGAGAGAAGCGGAGAUCUGUUGUAGAGAAAGUGGACAGUAGAGAGAGACAGGGAUAUAGUGGAGAGAAGCGGAGAUCUGUUGUAGAGAAAGUGGACAGUAGAGAGAGACAGGGAUAUAGGGGAGAGAAGCGGAGAUCUGUUGUAGAGAAAGUGGACAGUAGAGAGAGACCAGGGCAUAGUGGAGAGAGGCGGAGAUCUGUUGUAGAGAAAGUGGACAGUAGAGAGAGACCGGGGCAUAGUGGAGAGAGACGGAGAUCUAUUGUAGCGAAAAUGGACAGUAGAGAGAGGCGGGGGUCCAUCAGAGAGAAGGCCUUGGACAUUAGAGAGAGGCGGGGGUCCAUCAGAGAGAAGGCCUUGGACAGUGGAGAGAGGCGGGGUGUUGUCAGAGAGAAGGCCUUGGACAGUGGAGAGAGGCGGGUUUCCAUCAGAGAAAAGGCCUCGGACAGUGGAGAGAGGCGGGUUUCCAUCAGAGAGAAGGUGAAGUCAAAUGAUGAAAAGCAGAAGUUGAGUAAAGAGAAAUUAAGGUCCAGUGGAGAGAAGCUGAGGACUGGUGAUAUCUCCACUGGAGAUAAUCUGGAGUCAAAUAUUGAGGAAUUGGAAUCUGAUGAAAUGAAGCUGGAAACGCGUUCAAGAACAGAGAUGGCAACUGAAGAAGAUAUGGAAAAAGUGAUAGAAAUUACUGAUGAUGAAAGUGUGAUGGAAAAUACGAGUCAGGAAAUGCAAAUUCAUGACAGUACAGAUGAACAAGGAGGAGCAGAAGAAGAGAUGGGAAUUGACAGUUCUGCCGGGGAUGAAAUGAAAGAUACUGCUGAUUGA
rnacentral:lncRNA from 1 species